GACGAACGCUGGCGGCGUGCUUAACACAUGCAAGUCGAACGGAAAGGCCCUGCUUGCAGGGUACUCGAGUGGCGAACGGGUGAGUAACACGUGGGUGAUCUGCCCUGCACUUCGGGAUAAGCCUGGGAAACUGGGUCUAAUACCGGAUAGGAGCCAUUUUUAGUGUGAUGGUUGGAAAGUUUUUUCGGUGUAGGAUGAGCUCGCGGCCUAUCAGCUUGUUGGUGGGGUAAUGGCCUACCAAGGCGGCGACGGGGAGCCGGCCUGAGAGGGUGGACGGCCACAGUGGGACUGAGAGACGGCCCAGACGCCGACGGGAGGCAGCAGUGGGGAAUAUUGCACAAUGGGCGCAAGCCUGAUGCAGCGACGCCGCGGGGGGGAUGACGGCCUUCGGGUUGGAAACGCCUUUCGCUAGGGACGGAGCUUUUUGUGACGGUACCUAGAUAAGAAGCACCGGCUAACUACGUG
rnacentral:rRNA from 1 species